UACGUAGGGGGCGAGCGUUGUCCGGAAUUACUGGGCGUAAAGCGCGUGUAGGCUGCUCCACAAGUCGGAUGUGAAAGCCCUGGGCUCAACCUAGGAAGUGCAUUCGAUACUGUGGAGCUGGAGUCCUGGAGAGGAAGGCGGAAUUCUCGGUGUAGAGGUGAAAUUCGUAGAUAUCGAGAGGAACACCGGUGGCGAAGGCGGCCUUCUGGACAGUGACUGACGCUGAGACGCGAAAGCGUGGGGAGCGAACAGG
rnacentral:rRNA from 1 species